CAAAAUCCAAAGUACAAGCUAAGCAUAUGUAGACUCACAGUGCUCCCAAAAUGCAAAAGAGGAGGAGGCAUCCCACAGAGCUGAGAAUUCUUUAAAGGAGUCAGAAAUGUGGAGAAAGAUGUAAAAGAAGAAAAAGAAGCAAGGGGAUCUCCUUGGAUACUCUCUGUCCCCAGAUUUGGCUUGGGACUUCUCCAUUGCCACGAAGAUUGGGGAGGAAGGAGAGCCAAGAAGGGCAGCAGCUCUGUGGGAUCWUUGGAGUGCAGCGUUGGCUCCCAGCCCAGCCAGACCUGGAGCUGCAGCACCCUGAGCAGCCGAGGGAAGCAGUGCCUGCCCUCAGAGCACUCACCCUCCAAAUUCCCAGCUGCAGCACCAGGAUUUACAGAGCAGUAUGAUCAUCCUAGAGAAGAAAAGCAAGCAGUUGAGAAAAUUUCUAAAGAUAAACAACAUUUUACAAAUUCCUUUGUCAACAGCUUCUCUUCUCCUACAAGAAAAGACAAUUUUACAGAUUCCUGGAGGAAAAUAUGGACUAAGAACARAACAUUUCCUGAAAGCAAUGUCAUUUGGUCUUGAUCCUGUGAUUACUCCUCAUGUGAAUGGCAGCCCUGCAGUCGACAUUCAGACACAAUAAGACAUUUCUGCAAAGGUGGAUUUGAAGAUGUGAGAUCAUAUGAUUCUGUAUACUAAUAAGGAAGGGUUUUCCAGGCAGCCUGAAGCACUUAUGCACCUAAACCCAAUAAAAAUUCAUUACCUGAUUCCUACAUCUCUUGGAUCCAUUUGAAAUAGAUUAUAUAUGUAUAAAAGCGUUACCCUUUAAUUAGAUAACUUAAUUAUACCUAAUAGCAAUUAUUAUAUGCAUUAA